AUAAAUCCUUCAAAGGGUAUUUUAAAAAACAAAACAAAAAAGCAGAACACCGUUGAGCACAAUUAGGGUAAUAAGAAAAGUUUCACAUGUCGAAUUGGGCCCAUGAACACACAGUCCUCACACUGAAGAAGAGGAUGAAGGCGAGAACAAACAGUCCAAAAAUCACAGUUGUAGAAUCGCUCACGUUAGUGGAUUCUUGAGGUUGUUAAGUUUGAAACAUUUACGUCCGACCUUCAUAGGAACAAGCUGCUUGGAAGCAUUGAAAGAAGUACUUCAUGAAAGCAUCUCGCAAAAUUCAGCUACUGAACCUCAUUCAAGUCUCAUUACAACUACAACUGGCAUUGUGGAAGGGUUUGUUUUUUUGUUGUUUUUUUUUCUUUCUUAUUUUUUUCCCUUUUGAAGUUAUGAGCACCAUUAUUUGGCAACAUGGGACUGCAUAAAAGGAUAGGCACCUGAUGGCCAGUAUUAAGAUAUGCAGGUCAGUGAUGAUUUGGUGCAGUUUUGUGGCAGGUGUUUAGAGUUCUUCAGGAUAUUUCAGCCCAAAUUCUAGCUUCCUCUGCCUGGAGGUUUAGAUUUGGCUAUAAAUAGAGCAUUUUAAAGAGAGGAUGAGCCAAACAUAGUUACAAAUAGACACAAAAUCACUGUUUUGCAGUGACCUUCUCAAGCUACUGAAAGGCCGUGGGCUAAAUUGAAGAGGAAGUCCACCUGCACAAACCUAAUAUAAAGGUGCUUAAAAUGUUCUUCACAUAGAAGUGAACCAAGAUCCCUCUACACGUGUCUCUAAACUUGUUAGAAAUAACAGGACGUGACUCCAUGAUGUUUGGUUAAAAAAAAAAAAAUUAUACAGCAUCCCUGUAUGCUUGAGCUCAGACUGAUUGCACUUUUAUUCUUUUCAUUUAUCGAUGACCAGUUCUAUUAUGCAUUAUCUACUAUUAUCUGUUUUUGCUAAUUUUUAUGAAGGGUGCCAAUAAUUCUGAAGAGCACUGAACUGAUGAAAUAAGACCACCAGUAGAUGGAUUCUCUGAACCACAACAUCCUCAGGAUGGCCUCUGUUGAGUAUCAAUCUUGCUGCAGACUUGGCACUAUCAGCAUCUAUUGAUAAAAUGAAUGAAAUAUCUCUUGCCUUCAACCUGUACAGAGCAACCAACAAUGUUGUCAGUCAGGUUCCAAACCCUGGUUCUGGAGUCCUAUGCCCUGCACAUUUGAGUGUUUUCCUCUGCUUAAAAACCUGAUUCAACUAAUUAACAGCCCUUCUUGAGUUGAAAUGGACGUGUUGGAGCAGGGAAAACACUAAAAUGGAAGGACAGGGUGUACUCCAGGAUAUGUGUUUUUAAGCUAAAGCUGAUGUUU
ensembl:lncRNA